GGAUGGGAUGGGAUGGGGGGGAUGGGUGGGGUCACCAUUGGGAUGGAUGAGAUGGGAUGGGAUGUGAUGGGAUGGAAUGGGAUGGGAUAGGGGGGAUGGGGGGAAUGAGUGGGGUCACCAUUGGGAUGGAUGGGAUGGGUGGGGACACCACUGGGAUGGGGGGCGGGGUGGGAUCAGUGGGAUGGGAUGGGAUGAUGGGAUGGGUGGGAUCACAUCUGGGGUGCGUGGGAUGGGGGGGCAGACCAUUAGGAUGGGUGGGGCCAGUGGGAUGUAUGGGAUGGGUGGGGACACCUUUGGGAUGGGUGGGAUGAGUGGGAUGGUGGGAUGGGUGGGAUGAGUGGGGUCACCAUUGGGAUGGAUGGGAGGGGUGGGAUGGAUGGGAUGGGUGGGGACACUAUUGGGAUCGGUGGGGACACCAUUGGGGUGGGUGGGAUCAGUGGGAUGGAUGGGAUGAGUGGGGUCACCAUUGGGAUGGAUGGGAUGGGUGGGAUGGAUGGGAUGGUUGGGGAUACCUUUGGGAUGGGUGGGGACACCUUUGGGAUGGGUGGGAUCGUUGGGAUGGAUGGGAUGGGUGGGAUGAUGGCAUGGACGGGAUGGGUGGGGGCACCAUUGGGGGGGGUGGUAUGGAUGGGAUGGAUAGGAUUACGGCUGGGAUGGAUGGGGUCAUCGGUGGGAUUAUGGGAUGGUGGAAUGGGUGGGAUCACCGGUGGGGUCAUGGGACCAACGGGUGACAUGGGUGGGGUCACCAUUGGGAUCAUCGGUGACAUCAGUGGGAUCAAUAGGAUCACUGGAAUGGAUGGGAACAUCAGUGGGAUGGAUGGGAUCAUCAGUGGGGUCAUGGGAUGGAUGGAUGACAUGGGUGGGGUCACUGGUGGCAUCAGUGGGAUCAGUGGGAUCGCUGGGAUGGAUAGGAUCAUCAGUGGCAUCCAUAGGAUCAGUGGCAUCAGUGGGAUCAGUGGGAUCGCUGGGAUGGAUAGGAUCAUCAGUGGCAUCCAUAGGAUCAGUGGGAUCAGUGGGAUGUAUGGGAUCAUCAGUGGGGUCAUGAGAUCAGUGGGAUUGCUGGGAUGGAUGGGACCAUCAGUGAGGUCAUGGGAUCAGUGUGAUCGCUGGUGUGGAUGGGAGCAUCACUGGGAUCCAUGGGAUCAGUGGGAUCGUUGGGAUGGAUGGGAUCAUCAGUGGGGUCAUGGGAUCGAUGGGUGACAUGGGUGGGAUCAAUGGUGGGAUCAAUGGGAUGGAUGGGAUCAUUGGGGUCAUGGGCUCAAUGGGUGAUAUGGGUGGGAUCAGGGAUGGGAUCAUCAGCGGCAUCCAUGGGAUCAGUGGGAUCAGUGGGAUGGAUGGGAACAUCAGUGGGGUCAUGGGAUGAAUGAAUGGUUGACAUGGGUGAGGUCACUGGUGGCAUCAGUGGGAUCAGUGGGAUUUCUGGGAUGGAUGGGAUCAUUGUUGGGAUGGGUGGGAUCAUCAGUGGGGUCAUGAGAUCAGUGGGAUUGCAGGGAUGGAUGGGAUGAUCAGUGAGGUCAUGGGAUCAGUGUGAUCACUGGUGUGGAUGGGAUAAUCACUGGGAUCCAUGGGGUCAGUGGGAUCUUUGGGAUGGAUGGGAUCAUCAGUGGGGUCAUGAGAUCAGUGGGAUUGCUGGGAUGGGUGGGAUGAUCAGUGAGGUCAUGGGAUCAGUGGGAUCGCUGGUGUGGAUGGGAUCAUCACUGGGAUCCAUGGGGUCAGUGGGAUCGUUGGGAUGGGUGGGAUCAUCAGUGGGGUCAUGGAAUCGGUGGGUGACAUGGGUGGGAUCAAUGGUGGGAUCAGUGGGAUGGGUGGGAUCAUUGGUGGGGUCAUGGGGUCGAUGGGUGACACGGGUGGGGUCACCAGUGGGAUCAUCGGUGACAUCAGUGGGAUCAAUAGGAUCACUGGAAUGGAUGGGAGCAUCCGUGGGAUGGGUGGGAUCAUCAGUGGGGUCAUGGGAUCAGUGGGAUUGCUGGGAUGGAUGGGAUCAUCACUGGGGUCAUGGGAUCGAUGGGUGACAUGGGUGCGGUCAUGGAUGGGAUCAUCACUGGCAUGCAUGGGAUCAGUGGGAUCAGUGGGAUGGAUGGGAUCAUCACUGGGGUCAUGGGAACAUCAGUGGCAUCCAUGGGAUCAGUGGGAUCAGUGGGAUGGAUGGGAUCAUCAGCGGCAUCCAUGGGAUCAGUGGGAUCAGUGGGAUGGAUGGGAUGAUCAGUGAGGUCAUGGGAUCAGUGUGAUCACUGGUGUGGAUGGGAUCAUCACUGGGAUCCAUGGGAUCAGUGGGAUCGUUGGGAUAGGUGGGAUCAUCAAGUGGGGUCAUGAGAUCAGUGGGAUUGCUGGGAUGGAUGGGAUCAUGCAGUGGGGUCAUGGGAUCGAUGGGUGACAUGGGUGGGGUCACCAAUGGGAUCAUCGGUGACAUCAGUGGGAUCAAUAGGAUCACUGGAAUGGAUGGGAACAUCAGUGGGCUGGGUGGGAUCAUCAGUGGGGUCAUGGGAUCGAUGGCUGACAUGGGUGGGAUCAGUGGUGGGAUCAAUGGGAUGGAUGGGAUCAUUGGUGGGGUCAUGGGAUCAUCAGUGGCAUUCAUGGGAUCAGAGGGAUUUCUGGGAUGGAUGGGAUGAUCAGUGAGGUCAUGGGGUAAGUGUGAUCGCUGGUGUGGAUGGGAUCAUCACUGGGAUCCAUGGGGUCAGUGGGAUCAUGGAUGGGAUGGGUGGGAUCAUCAGUGGGCUCAUGGGAUCGGUGGGUGACAUGGGUGGGAUCGUAGGUGGGAUCAAUGGGAUGGAUGGGAUCAUUGGUGGGGUCAUGGGAUCGAUGGAUGACAUGGGUGGGGUCACCAAUGGGAUCAUCGGUGACAUCAGUGGGAUCAAUAGGAUCACUGCAAUGGAUGGGAACAUCAGUGGGUUGGGUGGGAUCAUCAGUGGGGUUAUGGGUUCAAUGGGUGACAUGGGUGGGAUCAAUGGUGGGAUCAAUGGGAUGGAUGGGAUCAUUGGCGGGGUCAUGGGAUCGAUGGAUGACAUGGGUGGGAUCAGGGAUGGGAUCAUCAGCAGCAUCCAUAGGGUCAGUGGGAUCAGUGGGAUGGAUGGGAUCAUCAGUGGGGUCAUGGGAUCAUCAUCAGCAUCCAUGGGAUCAGUGGGAUCAGUGGGAUGGAUGGGAUCAUCAGCGGCAUCCAUGGGAUCAGAGGUAUUGCUGGGAUGGAUGGGAUCAUCACUGGGGUCAUGGGAACAUCAGUGGCAUCCAUGGGAUCAGUGGGAUUGAUGGGAUGGAUGGGAUCAUCAGUGGCAUCCAUGGGAUCAGUGGGAUCAGUGGGAUGGAUGGGAUCAUCAGUGAGGUCAUGGGAUCAGUGGGAUCGCUGGUGUGGAUGGGAUCAUCACUGGGAUCCAUGGGGUCAGUGGGAUCUUUGGGAUGGAUGGGAUCAUCAGUGGGGUCAUGGGAUCAGUGGGAUUGCUGGGAUGGGUGGGAUCAUUGGUGGGGUCAUGGGAUCGAUGGGUGACAUGG
ensembl:lncRNA